UGCUUAUCAGGGCCGGAAAGCUCUCCAAACUCGGUCAUUUAGAGGAAAUAAAAGUCGUAACAAGGUAACCCCUGUGGUGGGGGAUAGCCCGGCGAAAGCCGGAUUAAUACCGCAUACGAUCUACGGAUGAAAGCGGGGGACCUUCGGGCCUCGCGCUUUAGGGUUGGCCGAUGGCUGAUUAGCUAGUUGGUGGGGUAAAGGCCUACCAAGGCGACGAUCAGUAGCUGGUCUGAGAGGACGACCAGCCACACUGGGACUGAGACACGGCCCAGACUCCUACGGGAGGCAGCGGUGGGGAAUUUUGGACAAUGGGCGAAAGCCUGAUCCACCAAUGCCGCGUGUGUGAAGAAGGCCUUCGGGUUGUAAAGCACUAUUGUCCGGAAAGAAAUCCUUGGCUCUAAUACAGUCGGGGGAUGACGGUACCGGAAGAAUAAGCACCGGCUAACUACGUGCCAGCAGCCGCGGUAAUACGUAGGGUGCGAGCGUUAAUCGGAAUUACUGGGCGUAAAGCGUGCGCAGGCGGUUUGCUAAGACCGAUGUGAAAUCCCCGGGCUCAACCUGCGAACUGCAUUGGUGACUGGCAGGCUAGAGUAUGGCACAGGGGGGUAGAAUUCCACGUGUAGCAGUGAAAUGCGUAGAGAUGUGGAGGAAUACCGAUGGCGAAGGCAGCCCCCUGGGCCAAUACUGACGCUCAUGCACGAAGCGUGGGGAGCAACAGGAUUACAUACCCUGGUAGUCCAACCCUAACGAUGUCACUAGUGUUGGGAUUCAUUUCUUAGUAAGUGCUAACGCGUGAACUGACCGCCUGGGAGUACGGUCGCAGAUUAAACUCAAGGAUUGACGCCACCGCACAGCGGUGGAUGAGUGGAUUAUUCGAUGCAACCGAAAAACCUUCCUACCCUUGACAGGUCGGAAUCCCCUGAAAGUGGGAUGCUCGAAAAAAACCGCGCAAAGUGCUGCAUGCUGUCGUCACUCUGACGUAAAUUUGGGUAAGUCCCCACCGACCCAACCCUUUCCUUAUUGCUACCCAGAGCCUCUAAGAAAUGCCGGGAAAAACGGAGGAAGGGGGGAUAACUCAGUCCCUAGGCCCUUUGGGAAGGCUUCCACAUCAAAAAGGUCGGAAAA
rnacentral:rRNA from 1 species